GUGCACCCCACCCCCUUCUCUGACCUCCACAGAGACAGCAAAGGCUUUGUUGUCAGACAGGGUGUGGUGGAUUCCACUGCCACUUACUAGCUCUGUGACCCUGGGCCAGUUACUGAGCCCAACUAUGCCUCAGUUCCCGCUUCUGUGACACAGGAUCAGAAGGUUCUUGUGGGGACUGAGAUGGAGUCUGGAAGACAUGCACAGAAGACAUUCACAGGCACUGACCAAGGUUGCGUUGACCAGAGACCUGAGGACAGAGCAUGGAGCUCGGUGCUGGGCCACUGCCCACCUGAAGCAAUCAGUUCCCUCCCUGAAGCCCUGGGCAGCUCUCUGCUUGACAUUCCAUCCUCUGGGGGUUGGUCAUGGUGAGAUCUGUGUCCUCCAUCCGGCAUCCCCUGAGGCCUGCACUCCACAUUUCCUCUCUGAAGCUGGAAGGGGUUUUGGAUGGAAAAGGCUCCAAGGGAGUGUGCAGCAGUUUUGUGAAUGGAGUCCUGUGUGAAGGCUUGUUGUUAUCUAAUUAUCACCAAUCUAAGCCAUUAUAAAACAUCGUGGUUAUCAGCUAAACCCUGCCUUCACGGAAAAGUCAUGGUAUUUCUCUGAACCGUGGUUUCCUUUUCUGUAACAGGAGGAAAACACCCUCUGUCAUCCAAUGCAGUUAACCUUUGAGAUGGCUCCCAGGGAUCUCCACCUGGUGUUCAUGUCCUUGUGUAGUGCCAUCUCUUUGAGUGUGAACUAGAACUAGUGACUGACUCCCUUCUAGGGAACAGACCAUAGCAAAAGUGAUAGGAUGUCCAUGGGGCCAGGACCUCAGGGGGGCUUCUGGCCAACAGCCAGUGAGGAACUGAAAUCCUGCCAACAGCCACAUGAGGGAACUUGGAAGCACGUGUUCCCCGCAACUGAGCAAGCCUUCAGAUGAGAACACAGCCCAGAGGCACCCAGCUCAGCCAUGCCUGGAUUCUUGGUCCACAAAAACUACAAGGCAAUAAAUGUUUCUUGUUUUAAGCCCGUAAGUUUUGGAGGGUAUCUGUUAUGCAGCUAUAGGUAACCAAUACACCUGGAGUUUUUCUACUCAGUGCAAGGCCCUAUUCUGCCCAUACAAGUAUUCAAGAUAUAUUUAUUGAGCACCACUGUGUGCCAGGCACUGUGCCUGGUAUAGGGUUUGCAGUGAUAAACCAGACAGAUGUUAUCCCCGCUCUCAAAGACCUCAAGGCUGAACUAAGGACACAGAUUUGUGAACGGACAGGGUGAGCA